UAUAGUUUUUUUUUUUUUAUUUCGACAUAAAACGAAAACACCCAAACCAAGAGAAAACAACAUAAUUGGGAAAAAUUGCACAGACGGCCCUUUUAUUUGGGCCCAAAUGAAAUUUGACCUGGCUUUAAAAACCAAUGAAAUUUGAUCCUAUACUUAUGUCAGCCUCGUGUGAAAUGAUCACUUUAACCCUAAAUGGUAAGGAGGGAGCGAGAAACUAUAGCAAGAAACUAGAUCGAGAGAAGAAUCCGAACAAAGAGGAAAAAAAAAUUGUAGUUGUAUAUGAUGAGGAACUAGAGGAAUGAGCAAGAAGCUAGAGAGAGAAGCUAGAGCGAGAGGAAGAAUCCGAAUAAAGGAGAAAAUCGAUGAAAAAAUUGUAGCUAUGUCUGAUGUGGAAUUAGAGCAAGAAACUAAAGCGAGAGGAAGACCGUUGUACAUGUAUUUUGAAAUCAAAUGUGUACUCUCACAUUGUCUGA